rnacentral:rRNA from 1 species
CAAGGAACUCGGCAUAAUGAUCCCGUAACUUCGGAAGAAGGGAUGCCAGUUUGGGUAGCCAGCUUCGCGCUGGUCGCUCUUUCUGGUCGCAGAGAAUCGACUCAAGCGACUGUUUAGCAAAAACACAGGUGCGUGCUAAGCCGCGUAAGGCGCCGUAUACGCACUGACGCCUGCCCGGUGCCGGAAGGUUAAGGGGAGAUGUUAGCCGCAAGGCGAAGCAUUGAGCCGAAGCCCCGGUAAACGGCGGCCGUAACGAUAACGGUCCUAAGGUAGCGAAACUCCUUGUCGGGUAAGUUCCGACCUGCACGAAUGGCGUAACGACUUGAGUACUGUCUCGACCACGUGCUCGGCGAAAUGGCAGUAUCGGUGAGGAUUCCGAUUUUCCCGCAGCAGGACAAAAAGACCCCAUGCACCUUUACUGUAGCUUGCCAUUGGACGUCGCACGUGACUGUGUAGCAUAGGUGGGUGCCUUUGAGGCCCGGGCGCUAGCUCGGGAUUAGGCAUCAGUGAAAUACCACCCUGGCUCUUGUAACGUCCUCACCACGCUCUGGAAAACCCAGGCUGGGACCGUGGCAGGUGGGCAGUUUGACUGGGGCGGUCGCCUCCGAAAAAGUAACGGAGGCGCGCGAUGGUUCCCUCAGCGCGGUCGGUACUCGCGCUCUUGAGUGUAACGGCAAAAGGUAGCCUGACGGUGAGACCGACGGGUCGAGCCGCCACGAAAGUGGGCCGUAGUGAUCCGGUAGCCCGUAGUGGAUCGGCUAUCGCUCAACGGAUAAAAGGUACGCUGGGGAUAACAGGCUUAUCGCAUCCGAGAGUUCACAUCGACGAUGCGGUUUGGCACCUCGAUGUCGGCUUGUCACAUCCUGGGGCUGGAGAAGGUCCCAAGGGUCCGGCUGUUCGCCGGUUAAAGUGGCACAUGAGCUGGGUUCAAAACGUCGUGAGACAGUUUGGUCUGUAUCCGCUGUGGGCGUUGGAGAAUUGAGGGACGCGGACUCUAGUACGAGAGGACCGAGUCGGACGAUCCGCUCGUGUCCCGGCUGUGUCGCCAGAUGCAACGCCGGGUAGCGAUGAUCGGUAGGGAUAACCGCUGAAAGCAUCUAAGUGGGAAGCCCUUCCCAAGAUGAAUUCUCCCUGGAGCCUUGAGCUCCCUGAAGGGCCGUCGGAGACUACGACGUCAAUAGGCCGGAUGUGGAAGCGCGGUAACGCGUUCCGAGCAAACCGGUCCUAAUCGCCCGUGAGGUUUGACUAC